GAUGAAGAACGUAGCGAAAUGCGAUAAGUAAUGUGAAUUGCAGAAUUCAGUGAAUCAUCGAAUCUUUGAACGCACAUUGCGCCAGCCAGUAUUCUGGCGGGCAUGCCUGUUCGAGCGUCAUUACAACCCUCAGGCCCCCGGGCCUGGCGUUGGGGAUCGGCGGAAGCCCCCUGCGGGCACAACGCCGUCCCCCAAAUACAGUGGCGGUCCCGCCGCAGCUUCCAUUGCGUAGUAGCUAACACCUCGCAACUGGAGAGCGGCGCGGCCACGCCGUAAAACACCCAACUUCUGAAUGUUGACCUCGAAUCAGGUAGGAAUACCCGCUGAACUUAAGCAUAUCAAUAAGCGGAGGA
rnacentral:misc_RNA from 1 species